AUGAUUGUAGUUGUUAUAAUUUUGUGGUAAGAGAUUGACAAAUAAUUCAUCUGUAUUUUUGUUCAUGAUUUUAGAUUCAUUAAAAACUUUAGACUCAAUAAGGAAGCCUUUCAAUACGUUCUCAAUGAAAUCAAGGAAGAAUUACCGGCUCAAAAACAAGGAGGUCUCAGUGUGGAACGUAAACUCGCUGCUUGUCUACGUUACUUCGCGGAAGGUAGCUAUCAACAUGGAUCAGGCAAAGAUUUUGACAUCGCUGUAGCUCAACCAACUUUUUCAAAAAUCUUAUCCGAAAUGCUAAAAGUAUUACAGAGGAAGAUUUGUCCACAGUGGAUAACACUUCAGAUGUAAGAAGAACAAGCACGCCGAGCUAAACGAUACUUUUACAACAAGUCUGCGAUUCCUGGAGUAGUAAUGUGUGUCGAUGGAACACAUGUUGAAAUAAUACCUCCGAAGACCAACCGCAAUCUUUUCCAUAACCGUAAAGGAUUUUACAGCUUAAAUGUCCUAAUGAUGUGCGAUGAUGAACAACGGAUUCGUUUUGUUGAUGCGAUUUUUCAGGGGUCUAACCACGACUCACAUGUGUGGCGAUUAAGUGCAGCUCGCCGAUAUUUGCAGCUUUUAUACAGGAAUGGAGACAGAAACACAAAGAUCUUAGGAGAUGCUGGAUAUCCCUCGGAACCCUGGUUGAUAACACCACAUAGAGCACCAGAAGCUGGAAGCCCUGAAAGCAAUUUUAACACCCGCCAUACAUCGGCAAGGAAUAUUAUUGAAAGGACAAUUGGAGUUGUAAAAAAUCGGUUCAGAUGCAUCCUUGCUGCCCGUCAACUACAUUAUUCGCCUACAAAAUCCUCGAAAAUUGUUAACGUGUGUUGUGCGCUGCAUAAUAUAUGUUUAACAUAUCGUAACGACUACUUAUACGACUACAUAGCAGAAUGAUCGAUGCGUCAUUAUUUUAAAAGAUUUCCCGCUGUUAUACUUAUAGAAAAUUUGCAAAUAAACUGUAUACUAACUAUAUUCA